rnacentral:rRNA from 1 species
AUUGAACGCUGGCGGCAGGCCUAACACAUGCAAGUCGAACGCGUGGCGGACGGGUGAGUAAUGUCUGGGAAACUGCCUGAUGGAGGGGGAUAACUACUGGAAACGGUAGCUAAUACCGCAUACCAUCGGAUGUGCCCAGCUGGGUGGAGCUAGUCGGUGGGGUAAUGGCUCACCUAGGCGACGAUCCCUAGCUGGUCUGAGAGGAUGACCAGCCACACUGGAACUGAGACACGGUCCAGACUCCUACGGGAGGCAGCAGUGGGGAAUAGUGGACAAUGGGCGCAAGCCUGAUGCAGCCAUGCCGCGUGUAUGAAGAAGGUCUUCGGGUUGUAAAGUACUUUCAGCGAGGAGGCGUUACCCGCAGAAGAAGCACCGGCUAACUCCGUGCCAGCAGCCGCGGUGAUUC